AAAGUAAGCUCUUGUGCGACUAGAAGAGCUGGACAACAAGAGUCUCUUUGUGGGAGUCUCUUUUGCUCCCACAAAGAGACUCUUGUUGUCCAGCUCUUCUAGUCGCACAAGAGCUUA